rnacentral:lncRNA from 1 species
AUGGCGCUCGCGCCCCCCGCCCACCCGCAGGCGCCUGCCCCCCGCCGCCCUCCGCUGUCCCCUCGCUGUCACUCUGCGCUGUCCCCCGCCCUGCGCUCCGCUCCCUGCCCGGCUGCGCUCGCCUCCCGCCCCGAGACCCCUCGGCCGGCGGCCCGGGCUCGGCCGCCACCUGCCCCGCCUGCCCCCUGGCCUCUGCCCCGCGGCCGGUCUCUGUCUCUCUCCCAGUGUCUCCGUCUCUCCCUGCGGGGCUCCGUCUCUCCCUGCGGGGUCUCCGUCUCCGUCGCCCUCUGGGUCUCUCCCCUGCCUCCCUCUGCCUCUGCCCGGUCUGUCUCCCCUGCGCGUCUCUCUCUGUCUCCCUGCCCGUCUCUGCCCCUCUCUCCCUCCCACUCUCGGUGCGGCCCCGCUGUCUCGGACCCAGGCCCCGCCGCCGCGUCCCCGGCUCGCCCGGGAGCCCGAGCUCCCGCCGCCCGCGGCGCGCCGAGAACUCCCAACUCGCCGCCCGCCGCCCGCUUUGCCAGACUUUCGCCCCUCCUCACACGUGACCCGCGCCCCACUGCGGAGGCUGCGCCCCAGCCCGGGAGCCCCGGGGGCCCGCGGGCCCGGCCCUGCCCUUGUCCCGCGGCCCAGCCGGGCGGCCACGCCCUGCCACCGGCCCGUCGGGCGGGGCAGGGGCAGGGGCUGGGGGCUGCGCGGCCCCGCUCCUGCCCCGGAUCCUGCCCGGGUUUUCCUCCUCCCUGGAGGAGCGCUCCUCCCAGAACCCAUUCCGAGAAUCCGCUCCCGGGUGUUCCAGUCCCCAGGGGCAGGUGGAGAGGAUCCCGGGAGGGCAGCGGUGGGAGAGGGUCGGCGCCGGGUGCGGUGGCGCCGGGCCACUCCCCUCCGCGGUGCCCUUCCCUCCACACGCACCCCGCUCCGGGAGACGCAGGUGGCCCUGCUGGAGGGACUUCACAAUCACCGAGGCAGCACCGCCCCAUUUUACAGACUGUGAGACUGAGUACCAGAGAGGGUCACAAGUUGGCCCAAGGCCACCCAGAGGUGGCAGAGCCGGACCAAACCCCAGUCUCUUGUUCUCUGCGUCCCCAUUACUCCCAACUGACCUUAUAA